GGCGAGUGAAGCGGCAAUAGCUCAAAUUUGAAAUCUGGUCUCCUUUGGGGGCCCGAGUUGUAAUUUGCAGAGGGCGCUUUGGCGUUGACAGCGGUCUAAGUUCCUUGGAACAGGACGUCACAGAGGGUGAGAAUCCCGUACGUGGUCGCCUGUCUUCGCCGUGUAAAGCCCCUUCGACGAGUCGAGUUGUUUGGGAAUGCAGCUCUAAAUGGGAGGUAAAUUUCUUCUAAAGCUAAAUACUGGCCAGAGACCGAUAGCGCACAAGUAGAGUGAUCGAAAGAUGAAAAGCACUUUGGAAAGAGAGUCAAACAGCACGUGAAAUUGUUGAAAGGGAAGCGCUUGCAGCCAGACGUGCCCGUGGUGGUUCUCCUCCGCGGGCAGGCCAGCAUCAGUUCGGGCGGUCGGAUAAAGGCCUCUGUCACGUAUCUACCUUCGGGUUGACCUUAUAGGGGAGGCGUAAUGCGAUCAGCUCGGACUGAGGUCCGCGCAUCUGCUAGGAUGCUGGCGUAAUGGCUGUAAGCGGCCCGUCUUGAAACACGGACCAAGGAGUCUAACAUCUAUGCGAGUGUUUGGGUGUCAAGCCCGGGCGCGCAAUGAAAGUGAACGGAGGUGGGAACCCUUUCUUGGGGUGCACCAUCGACCGAUCCUGAAGUCUUCGGAUGGAUUUGAGUAAGAGCAUAGCUGUUGGGACCCGAAAGAUGGUGAACUAUGCUUGAAUAGGGUGAAGCCAGAGGAAACUCUGGUGGAGGCUCGCAGCGGUUCUGACGUGCAAAUCGAUCGUCAAAUUUGGGCAUAGGGGCGAAAGACUAAUCGAACUAUC
rnacentral:rRNA from 1 species